AUGACCUUAUUGCCGACAAACAGAGCCACCAGUUGCAAGUACCCUAUUGCUGACCAACCUGUGGUAACUGUCCAGUCGCAGCACAACCUCAAUCAGCACUAUCCCCAGUCCAUAUUACACCGUUCUGACCACCAGCAUUCACAUCAUCAGCAGUGCUCUCGUCGUGAGGGCUACAUAUUAAAGAAUGAGAUUGAUUGUUUGAGUAGUACUGCUUACAUGCAAGCUCAACGUAGUCGCAUCCACAUAUACCGUUGUAAACAUAUUACAAGGUUAUUUAUGUGCAUGCAAUCAACUAAGCUAACCAACUUUGAAAGGUGA
rnacentral:rRNA from 1 species